rnacentral:ncRNA from 1 species
ACUACGAAUCCUUGUCCGGAUUCCUCUAUUCACGCACGUCGGGUCGGGACGAGCCCUUGACCGCUAGCGA